CAAAGCUCGAGAGCCACCUCCAACAGUGCCAUUUCCAUCUGGCCGAUUAAGCUCAUCGGACCACCCGGCUCGCCGGUCCGACUCGGUGGGCCCUCUUUCAUUAUCCACCACAGGGUCUCUUCCUUCAUAUCUCCUCCUCGUCUACUCUCUUUCUCGCUCGCGCGCGCUCUAUAUAUUAACCCGGAAGCCUCCAUUGCUCGCUGCCUCAGCACAAGAAGAGCAAACAACUCUUUACUCAGAAAAGAAUCCAAACCCGUCUUCUUUUUCCCUUUAUUUUCUGUGGGUUUUGGGCUUCUGGGGUAUGAGAGAGGGAGAGAGAAUGGGAGGGGCUAACUCAAGCACAAGCGCGGUGAGGACGAGCUUGAAGCUGCGUUCAUGGCAGCGGUGCUGCUCGAAGCACAUCAGGGAGCAGAGGGCCCGCCUCUACCUCAUCUGGAGGUGCACGGUCAUGCUUAUCUGCUGGCAAGACUGAUCGAGAACACAGAAGAGUCAAAGAGAGAGAGAGAGAGAGAGAAAGAGAAAGGAUCGUAGGUAGAGAGAGAUCAAGAUCGCAGCGUACGAAGUAGAAGCUGUUGAGCCGGGGAAGCAUUUUUCUUCUCAAGUGCAGAAAGCUCUGAAAGUUUGCAUGAAUGUACAGCCUCUUAAAUUUAUUUUAUUUUUCCUUUUUUCCCCUUUUUAAUAUAGUUGGUUAAGGUUGACUCAAUGGAAAAUAAAUCAGUAGAUAAAUUAUGCAAAGCUAAAUAGAGAGGUGCGACUCAUAGCUUCAAUCUUUUCUUUCUCUCCUUUCUUCAUUUUCCACUUUCGAUGUAUUUUGCAGAUAUAGAGUCGAUCUGGCCUUUGAGAAUGAAAGGAAUUUUUUUUUU